rnacentral:rRNA from 1 species
GAUGAACGCUAGCGGCAGGCCUAACACAUGCAAGUCGAGGGAGAGGUUACCUUCGGGUAACCAAAACCGGCGCACGGGUGCGUAACGCGUAUACAAUCUGCCUUUCACAUAGGGAUAGCCCGAAGAAAUUUGGAUUAAUACCUAAUGGUAUAUAAGAGCGGCAUCGUUUUUAUAUUAAAGCUACGGUGGUGAAAGAUGAGUAUGCGUUCUAUUAGCUAGUUGGAGAGGUAACGGCUCCCCAAGGUGACGAUAGAUAGGGGUUCUGAGAGGGAUGUCCCCCACACUGGUACUGAGAUACGGACCAGACUCCUACGGGAGGCAGCAGUGAGGAAUAUUGGACAAUGGUCGGAAGACUGAUCCAGCCAUGCCGCGUGCAGGAUGAAGGUCCUAUGGAUUGUAAACUGCUUUUGUAAGGGAAGAAUAAGGAGUACGUGUACUUUGAUGACGGUACCUUACGAAUAAGCAUCGGCUAACUCCGUG